CUGAACUUUAAAAUGGAUGAAGUGAGAAAGAAUUUCUAGGCUGAUGGUUACUGAGAAAUAAUUAACAAAUUCAAUUCACGAUGGCUUAGUCCACAGUAGGAUGUUACAUUGAAUACAGUGCAGUUCCUCUUACAGCAUCAUGUGUCCAUGCUGAACUGCAUUCUCAAUGUUGCAUCACAAAGGACUACAUACUGUAGUAAAUGCUUGUUGUGGUGAGCUGGGCUCCACUCAAGGUUUCUUUGGGCUGAUUGCUUACAGUGCACUGGAAUUUUUAUUUCUUCCCACCUGGCUCACUACCCAUGUCCUGCUUUACUCCAGGAUCAUUCUGAGUAGAGGCAGAUGCUACAUACAUGUUGGCAGGUAGGCAAGAGUGCUGUUUUUUGUGGUAGAGGUUGUAGGAAAGUUGGUUAUAAUAAUUGAUUAGUUCUAAAGAAUCUGCCAAGGCUCUCUGACAGAGCCUACUCAGAUAUGAAUCGUUAUGGGAUGGACAGGUACAGGUCACUGCCCACAUAAAUAAAAGAGAGAAAACACACCUGGACCUGGUCUCGGGAAUGAAUCAACACAAGGGACCACAAAGGAUAUAGCAGAAGACAAAGAAACUCAACAGGAUUCUUGAUCAGUACCCUCAUACGUGCUCAGGGCUGUGGUUUUGCAAGUGACAUUGCCACCAAAUCCAGGAGUGAAUUAUUUUUCUUCUCUCAGAUGGUGCACAGUGCCACAACAGAGGCCUGAGGUAAAUGGGUUUAAAAAAAAGACCCAAAAAAACAGCAAAAAAAAAAGUCAGUAGCCUCACCUAUACUGUAGUGUCCUCCUGGCCUGGGUCUGCUGCAAAGCCCUGUGUCUCCUCAGCUGGGAGCAAUAUCCAAGAAACUGCUACAGGAUCCUGUGGAGGCUGGAGGAGGAAACUGAUCCGCACAUAAAAAAGCUGAAGCCCGUAUGAAGAAGGGAAUUAGUAGCUAAAAGAUAACCAUCAAAUUUCAGAAGAUAAACAAAAGGUGGAUCUGAACCUUGAAAUUGUCAGCUCAGCAAAGGCAGAGUGGUGAAAGGAGGGUUUCCUGGAGAACCCCCAGAAGAUUGUGAUGGAUAAUGCGUUUCUGGAAGGGGACAAGAAACAGGCAGUACAAAGGUGCUAAACCUAAACAGUUCUAACAAAACACUGGUCACGCAUUUUAUCUCCAACACCCUGCAAAACAUAGGAGAUAUGUCAGAUUGAGAUCACUACAUCAGUUGAGCUGAAGUUUUUCCUGACUACUCUAAUUCUUGUGUAUACCAUAUAGAGGAGCACUGUGCAAGACUUGCUUUGUUUUUAAGGUCAUUAUUUUUCACUGAAGAAAAUUCACCGUCAGAUAAAUCAGUAAAUAAAUCCAUUUGUCUAAACACUUGUCUCAAAAAUUAAUUGAACACACAACUAUUGCAAAAUUUAUCUCUUUACAACUUCUUAAAAAUAAAAUGAAACUAAACAUACCUUUUUGAUUGCAAACUUUUUGCUAGCCUAGAGCUGCUUUCCCACAGCGUGAAAGGAGCUCAAGCGUCUUGUUGGAGAGCACUUUAGAAGAAGACCUUCUCUGGGAUUCACAAAAGCAUCCCUCUUUCAUGUUUCCAUCUGCCCUCCAGGAUUUUUUCCCAUAAUGUGCAUGAAACAUUGAUGCAUACCAUACAGUCAUAAGACUAUUUUUAUUCCAUCUUUUUUUGUCACCAUCUUCCUUCCACCUUUCUGGAAGCCUGCCCUACUAGCAGUUUGCAGCUGUUCAAGGCAAAGUCUUGCAUGUGUUUUUCUCACAUCACUUAAUGUAGGCUUAAAAUCAGGGAAGCAGAAUCUCCUGAGUUGCUUUAAAAAAAAAAGAGGAGAGCUUGUAAGUGGCUUGGUGUUUUAGACUGUGAGAAUAAAAUUUAAGUUUCAAGA